UACGUAGGGUCCGAGCGUUGUCCGGAAUUAUUGGGCGUAAAGGGCUCGUAGGCGGUUCGUCACGUCGGGAGUGAAAACUCGGGGCUUAACCCCGAGCCUGCUUCCGAUACGGGCAGACUAGAGGUAGGCAGGGGAGAGCGGAACUCCUGGUGUAGCGGUGGAAUGCGUAGAUAUCUGGAGGAACACCGGUGGCGAAGGCGGCAUCCUGGACCGACACUGACACUGAGGAGCGAAAGCCAGGGGAGCAAACGGG
rnacentral:rRNA from 1 species